rnacentral:rRNA from 1 species
GACGAAGGAUGCAAGCGUUAUCCGGAUUCAUUGGGUUUAAAGGGAGCGUAGGUGGCCUUAUAAGUCAGUGGUGAAAUCUCGAGGCUUAACCUCGAAAUUGCCAUUGAUACUGUAGGGCUUGAGUAUAGUUGCCGUUGGCGGAAUAUGACAUGUAGUGGUGAAAUGCUUAGAUAUGUCACAGAACACCGAUAGCGAAGGCAGCUCACUAGACUAACAUUGACGCUCAUGCACGAAAGCGUGGGGAGCGAACAGG